ACUUAUUUUCCCUGUUAAAUCUGAUUCUAUAGAUUUUUAUUAAUUUAUUUUUUAUUUUUUCCCAAGAGAUUUCACUUUUGAACAAAAUAAAUUAUAAUCUUUUGUAGGUUUAUGCAGAUUGCUACUACCGGAGAGAUUGAACAAAUGGAAUUAAUCCAACCACUUAGCCAAAAAUUUCGUCAAUGAUGUUGUAAUGGCUUUCCUUCAUGCUUCUUGCAUCAAUUCCAACUUGAAUAUUGCACCGGAGUUGUUUACAGGUAGAUAUGAAGAUUAUAUAUGGGAUAACACAGUUGCGGAAGACGACUGAAAAUCAGGGAAGGAAGUCAAGGGAGGAGCUGCUAAGAUUAUUAUCAGUCGCUUGGUUCUGCUGUGAAAUUCUGUGACUAAGCCUGUUGGACUUCAUGAUCCGAAAGGAUCAUCGCUACUGUAGAUAGGCGCAACCGAGUGCGAAUGGGUCUGUGAACUUAAUAUUAGUCUGCUACUCAUUAGAUAUUGAUAUGAAUAUGUACUCCGGUUCCACUCUGUACAUAUCCGUACGUGCUGGGUUUUCACGCAGUACAUAUCGAUAUGUAAUAAAGUUGGAAAUCUUUUGUUUGUCUUG